GCGAGAGAAACGAAGAAGUGGUGGGAGACGUUGCAUUCUUAUCGCACGUCGCACGAUCGAGAGAGAAAGCAUUACCAGACGUGAUACGGUUAAUGGUGUCUCCAAUAGCUGUCUCAUUCACUCUAUGCUUGAAUGCAGGGCAUAUGAGUGAGAUAGCUAUAGAGACACCGCGCUGUCUCUAUAGGUGUCCCGCUCGCUCUAAUAGCCGUGUAUCGCGCUUUCCUCUUUUCUUCUUAGCAGAAAUUCAGAAAUUUUAUUGAAAAAUAAAGCAGAGGUUGGCCCGAAGUUACCUGUUCCUGAGCAGGAAUAUAACAUUGAUACAGAAGGUAAUAUAGCAUUUGAUGAGAAGGCCAUUGAAUACCUCUGUGGAAGACGAGGUGUAAAACGUAAAGAUAGAGAAAUUGACGAAGCAAACAUAAUUGAGAUAAAUGGAGAGGAUAUAAAACCAGACGAAAGAGAGUGGCUGGUAAAGGCAUUAACAGAAGAACCUGUACAAAGGCCAGUUUCUAUGCAGAAUUGUGGAAUCAACUCUCAAUCCAAGAAGCAUCAAAUUACUGGAAUUAAAAAAUCAGUGGUCUCAAAAUAGAAUGGCAUGAGAACAAACAAAAUCAAAAUAUGGUUUUUAAAACCAUAUGAAUAUAUGU